rnacentral:misc_RNA from 1 species
UGCUCAUUGGUUCAGCUCAUACUUUUCGAUAGUGUCGUAUCUAUAUGAUAGUAUCACGAACGUUUCUGAACGCGCGUUUGCUAUGGGCGAUUAACCUCAAUCUUCUCGCGAAUCAUACGAAAGGUUAGGUUUGUUAAGCAGACGACGGGCGUGAUGUAAUGUCGCGCGCAUUUGUGCAACACGUGCACACGUGUUUUUUUCAUCGGCUUGCAUUAUUCGCGCACGUUCACGCACGUCGCUCCGUCAUGAACGGUACAGAUCUCAGGAAACAUCCACGAUUCAAAUUAUUCAGCCUCCAAUAAUUGCUGCGCUGUUAAUAAUCGUGCGGAUUUUUCACAUUUGUAUCUUUUUACAAGACCCGGCGCGACGCGGAGCAGGGUUUUAAUUAGUAGAUCACUUUUCUUCUGUCAGCUGAAACCGAUGACGUUUCUCGAAGUCCUCACGUUAAUCAGACCCAACGAAGCGGAGCAUAUUAACACGGCAAGAAGAUGCUUCACGAGGAACCUGCAGCGAAUCUCUCAACGAGAGAUGUCCUACUCGCAUCGUUUAUCUCAGGCGCUCUUGCAGGGAUUGUUUGUGACGUGACGCUCUUUCCAUUCGACACCCUGAAAACGCGUUUACAAAGCCAACAUGGAUUUUUCCAAUCCGGUGGUUUCAGACACCUGUAUAAAGGCUUGGGUCCCGUGGUGCUCGGUUCGGCUCCGUCAGCCGCUAUAUUUUUUAUCACUUACGAAGGAAUAAAACAGUAUUCGCAGCCGUGCAUACCAGAUCAGUAUCACUCCAUUAUACACAUGGUCGCAGCAUCGUCUUCAGAAAUAACUGCUUGCUCGGUUCGAGUACCAGUCGAGGUAGUUAAACAGAGGAAACAGGCGCUUCUAUCCACGCAUCGAUUGAAAUUAAGAACACUAUAUCGCGGUUAUGGAAGCACUGUCCUACGGGAUUUGCCAUUCGGCGUGAUCCAAAUGCCGUUAUGGGAAUAUUUCAAGUUUUAUUGGACUCGGCAAAUACAGCGUGAGUGUACACCCUUCGAAGGUGCCACUUGUGGAUCCGCAUCGGUCGCUAUAUCAGCUGCCAUAACAACGCCAUUAGACGUCGCAAAAACUAGAAUUAUGUUGUCCAGUACAUCGGCGGAAAAAGAAGAAGUUAGGAUAUCAACAAUGUUAAAAGAGGUUUACAGAGACCAUGGCGUUAAAGGGUUGUUCGCCGGUUUUAUCCCGAGAAUAACCAGCUUUACUAUUGGUGGCUUUAUAUUUUUCGGUGUUUACGAACAAGCUAGAGAAUUCUAUAUAUCCUACUUUUCGUAGUCAUCGAUAAACGAAUAAAGUAUAAAAGCUUAAAUUAUUAAUUUUUGAAUUAAUUAUUUAUGAAUACGUUCUAGUAACUGAGCUUUUGUACUCAGUAAUGUCCUCUACUGGGAUGAAUUCCAAAAGCAUAUCAAGAGUUUUAGAAGAAAAUAAAACAAUUUCUAGUUCCUACAUAAGGAAUAAGUACAAGUGCUUAAGAUUUUCUACGGAAAAUUUUGAAAAAA